GUUCCACUUUAAAAUUUUAUUUGAGUUUUGUUCGUUGAAUUUUAUAUAAAAUUGCUCGUUCUGGGUGAAUACUCAGCACCAAACUUGCACCACAGAGGGCUUGCCUGGUUUUGACAUCUGAGCAAGUGGGUGUGGGUGGGUGAGAGCCAAUUCUUUUUCUGCAAUGGUUUGGAGAUUGUGAACAGUAAUUUAUUAACAUAUAAAAUUUGUGAAUCAAGCUUGCAUUAUUGGGGAAUCAUUUAUGAAAUCCCUAAAUAAAACACAAAAUAAUAAGCAAAGAUUGUUAUUGAAGGUUGAUUAGGAUGGAUGAGAGAAUUAAAAAUCUAUACUGUCCAUUUGGCAUGUUCCUGCUUGUGUGCAUUGUAUUUAUAUAGUUCCUAUUCUUCCGCCCUUCCUUUCUAAUUGUUAUGGUUGUAAUCUGUGAUUCACGCUGUUUUAACUGAUAGGAUACUGUUGUGACUUGUCGGUGUGUCAGACGGUUUGUAGAUUGUGAGUAGUAUAUUCAUUGCACAUAAAAUUUGCAUUUAAACUUGGACAACUGGGAAGCUGAAAAAAAGGUGAAACAAUAAGCAAAGGCUGCAAAUUACUAGAGAUUGAUCAGGAAUACUGAUUGUCUAUGAUAUAAUACUAUCUAUUAAGUGAGGUAUCUAUUUGUUCACCCCUUGGUCUUUACAAAAUCCCUAUCCUUGACAUGUUUAUAAUUCAUAUUUGAUACAUUCUAGAACUUGGAACAAAAACUCUUAAGAUGGCUGUCUAUCCUACAUGUGUUGGCCAUUCUUCUGCAAUUUCCACAUCCACAUCCUGCAAUUUGAAACUGCUGCCUCUUCCUUCUCUUUCUUUGUUAUUUUCAACUUUUUGCAAAAGAUCUUCAAUUCUGAUUCCUCACCCCCAAAUAUUCUUGUCUUCUAAGAAAUGGCUUUCAUGGGAUUUUAUUUUAUUUUUAUUUUCUUUUUUUGUGUGCAUUUGUGCUGUUGGUGAUGUGAUUUUCAUUUUUUUUUUCCAGAAUUUGUUCAGUAAAUCUGCUCUUACCUCAACAAGGUAUUUUCAUGUGUUGUGGAUAUUUCUAAAAGAAUAGAAAUUAUCUACAUCUUGCCUAUCGCCAAAAGAAAAAAAUUCUACAGCUUGUGUAUAUAUUUUUUCCCCAAAACAAUUGUCUAAUAUGAAAAAUUUGAAGUCUGCCAUGCAGCUCAAUUCUCAUCCUCCCUACCACAUGUUUUAUUUUUACUGUUAUGCAUUAGGUUAAGUCCUUGUCUUAACUUCUGUUGGGAGGGAAAUGUGUCCUUUUUAGGUGGGUGGGGGGGAGGAGGGUGUGGGUGAUUUUAUAUAGGGAAAGUGGGAUGGCUAUGUAAAACUCUGAAUACCAUAUUGGAGUCACAUGAAGGGCCCCAAGUUGAGUACCUGAGGAUAUGGUAGAAUAAAGGAUGAGAAUAUCGGUUUUUGCAGAAAUAUCGGGAAAUAUCAACAGAAAUUUGGACUAAAAAUAUUGAUAGUAUGAAAAUUGAUAAAAACUCAAAAUAUUGGGGAAAACUGCAAAAAAAGAUGAGAAAAACAAUAAUAAUAUAUAUUAAAUUUUUAUUGAAGAAAAUAAUAUAAGUUUAUAAUAUUCAGUAAUAAUAUGCAGAAUUUGAAAACACAUUCUUAAUACUAAAACGGUGAUGUAUUUAGUUCGAAUAUACUCAAGUAUAUGUAGAGAAAUGAUGAUAUAUGUAUAAAUGUUUUUUUUUUUUAAAUAUUGAAAAUAAUUAAGAUAUUGAUAAUUUUAUCAAGAAGUUCAUGUUGUCUUGUAUUUAAUUAUCAUACAAAAGAUAUAAUAAGAUAAUUAAAAUUAAUUUAUGAACAACAAUUUUAUUUUAAAUAAUAUAUAUUAUAAAUAAAUAUAUAUUGUAUGUAAUAUCUGCAUAAUAAAUGUGAAAACAAGUUGACCCAAGUGGUGAGGACCCUUUCUUUCAUGUGUGAUGACCUAUUCAAUCCCUGUUUCUUCUCUUAAUUUUUUUUUGUUUCUUUUUAAUGAUAACAAAUUGGCAUCCUACAUUGGAAAGCCAUAGUAAACAAUAGAGGUAUUUAAUAAGAUUUGCCACAUUCAAAGUCAAAAGCUGUCCUGGGUUGGCUUGCUUCCGUUGGUUCUCUUCAUACCUAAUCCAUUCUUCCACUUCAUGUGCUUUUUUAAAUGAACCACUGCUAGAAAAGUGGCUGAUGUGGCACUCAUGUAAAUGGAAAAAUGGCCUGCUUUGCUGCCUAUUUUUUUUUAUAGGUAAAUUAAGAGAAUAUAUUAAAGGCACUUGCAAAAUGGAACAACAAAGUACACACAAAGUAUACAAUUAAGGCCAAAAGGUGAGCAAGAGAAAGAAAGGAAAAUCAAACACCAACCACCUGAACAACUACCAUUCCCCUAGAGAGUUGGAUUGUUCUUAGCAGGAACUUCCAAAACCAAAGAACACCCCCAACCUACACCAACUAAAACACAAAAGAACACAAUCUCCCCCCCUAAACAAAACUGCAACCAUACUCCCUCAACCAAGCUGGUAACGAAAAAGCAACCUUACAAAACAAGUGCUGAAUCCCCACUGCUCCUCCCCCUCCCCCUAACAGUGAGUGGAGAACUAUUGUAAUUAAUCGAGUAUUCUAGUUUUUGGAUUUCCCUCUCAAACCAAGAUGACGAGAAAGGUUUCCUCUUUCCCCAUAAGACCUUAAUCACAUCCUUUUCUUGCCUCCAUUUUCCUUAGAAGGGAGCUGCUCUCCUUUUCAAAUCCUGCAAUUGGCAUGCCCACAAAGCUAUUGAAAUUAGCAAACUUACUAGGAAAGCUAUUAGGACUAGGGUCUCUCCCCCACCAAAACACAUCUGGACUCCAUGGCCUUACAAGGCUCCAACUCCUUGGCCUUGAUCACCAUUUUCUUACCCAAAGGACCCUUCGUAGGACUCCGUGGAAAAUCCAACAAACUGCCAUCUUGAAGCAUCAUCCUUAGCAGUCAACAUCCAAAUCCCAAAGGCCCCAAGGAAUACCCUGCCUUUGACUGAAUCGCUCACCCACUAUCAAGGACAAUCGACCCAACAGAAGAAAAAAGGGGAGAAGGGGGAGAUGAUGGCAUACCUUCAAAACAUGUCACUUCUACCAAGAGAGCUUUAUUGACUCUCGAAACCCGCUCUGUCAGACCCUAAAGCGUCACCUUUAGAAGGGGAUCAACGAAGGUUGCCAUGGAGCUGAGCUGUGCUGCCUAUAUAUCGGUGAAACGACUGCAUAAAUGGGACAAUCGGCCCAACAGAAGAAAAAAGGGGAGAAGGGGGAGAUGAUGGCAUACCUUCAAAACAUGUCACUUCUACCAAGAGAGCUUUAUUGACUCUCGAAACCCACUCUGUCAGACCCUAAAGCGUCACCUUUAGAAGGGGAUCAACGAAAGUUGCCAUGGAGCUGAGCUGUGCUGCCUAUAUAUCGGUGAAACGACUGCAUAAAUGG